UACAGAGACUGCAAGCGUUAUUCGGAUUCACUGGGCGUAAAGGGUGCGCAGGCGGUUGGGUGUGUCAGAUGUGAAAUCCCGAGGCUUAACCUCGGAACUGCGUCUGAAACUACUCGACUAGAGUACUGGAGAGGGAAACGGAAUUCACGGUGUAGCAGUGAGAUGCGUAGAUAUCGUGAGGAACACCAGAGGCGAAGGCGGUUUCCUGGACAGUUACUGACGCUCAGGCACGAAAGCAUGGGGAGCAAAAGGG
rnacentral:rRNA from 1 species